rnacentral:rRNA from 1 species
UACGUAGGGUGCAAGCGUUGUCCGGAAUUAUUGGGCGUAAAGAGCUCGUAGGCGGUCUGUCGCGUCGGCUGUGAAAACUCGGGGCUCAACUCCGAGCUUGCAGUCGAUACGGGCAGGCUAGAGUUCGGCAGGGGAGACUGGAAUUCCUGGUGUAGCGGUGAAAUGCGCAGAUAUCAGGAGGAACACCUGUGGUGUAGACAGCUUACUGGACCAUAACUGACGCUGAGGCGCGAAAGCUAGGGGAGCAAACAGG